rnacentral:rRNA from 1 species
UGGGGAAUAUUGCACAAUGGGCGCAAGCCUGAUGCAGCCAUGCCGCGUGUAUGAAGAAGGCCUUCGGGUUGUAAAGUACUUUCAGCGGGGAGGAAGGCGAUAAGGUUAAUAACCUUGUCGAUUGACGUUACCCGCAGAAGAAGCACCGGCUAACUCCGUGCCAGCAGCCGCGGUAAUACGGAGGGUGCAAGCGUUAAUCGGAAUUACUGGGCGUAAAGCGCACGCAGGCGGUCUGACAAGUCGGAUGUGAAAUCCCCGGGCUCAACCUGGGAACUGCAUUCGAAACUGGCAGGCUAGAGUCUUGUAGAGGGGGGUAGAAUUCCAGGUGUAGCGGUGAAAUGCGUAGAGAUCUGGAGGAAUACCGGUGGCGAAGGCGGCCCCCUGGACAAAGACUGACGCUCAGGUGCGAAAGCGUGGGGAGCAAACA